UUAUAAGAGACAGCAGUAGCCGCGGGAAUACGAAGGGUGCAAGCGUUACUCGGAAUUACUGGGCGUAAAGCGUGCGUAGGUGGUGGUUUAAGUCCGUUGUGAAAGCCCUGGGCUCAACCUGGGAAUUGCAGUGGAUACUGGGUCACUAGAGUGUGGUAGAGGAUAGUGGAAUUUCCGGUGUAGCGGUGAAAUGCGUAGAUAUAGGAAGGAACACCAGUGGCGAAGGCGACUACCUGGACUGAUACUGACACUGAGGUGCGAAAGCGUGGGGAGCAAACAGGAUUAGAGACCCGCGUAGUCCCUGUCUCUUAUAA
rnacentral:rRNA from 1 species